AGCAGUAGCCGCGGGAAUACGGAGGGGGCUAGCGUUGUUCGGAAUUACUGGGCGUAAAGCGCACGUAGGCGGCUUGGUAAGUUAGAGGUGAAAGCCCGGAGCUCAACUCCGGAAUUGCCUUUAAGACUGCCGAGCUAGUAGGUGAGAGAGGUAAGUGGAAUUCCGAGUGUAGAGGUGAAAUUCGUAGAUAUUCGGAAGAACACCAGUGGCGAAGGCGGCUUACUGGCUCAUUCUAGACGCUGAGGUGCGAAAGCGUGGGGAGUAAACAGGAUUAGAGACCCCCGUAGUCCCUGUCUCUUAUAC
rnacentral:rRNA from 1 species